CCUACGGGGUGCAGCAGUGGGGAAUAUUGGACAAUGGGCGAAAGCCUGAUCCAGCCAUGCCGCGUGUGUGAAGAAGGCCUUCGGGUUGUAAAGCACUUUCAGUGGGGAAGAAAGCCUUGGGGCUAAUACCCUCGAGGAAGGACAUCACCCACAGAAGAAGCACCGGCUAACUCCGUGCCAGCAGCCGCGGUAAUACGGAGGGUGCGAGCGUUAAUCGGAAUUACUGGGCGUAAAGCGCGCGUAGGCGGUCUGAUAAGCCGGUUGUGAAAGCCCCGGGCUCAACCUGGGAACGGCAUCCGGAACUGUCAGGCUAGAGUGCAGGAGAGGAAGGUAGAAUUCCCGGUGUAGCGGUGAAAUGCGUAGAGAUCGGGAGGAAUACCAGUGGCGAAGGCGGCCUUCUGGACUGACACUGACGCUGAGGUGCGAAAGCGUGGGUAGCAAACAGGAUUAGAUACCCGUGUAGUC
rnacentral:rRNA from 1 species